GCAUGGGCUUGGGUACAAUUUGUCAGUAGUUCUGGUGACAAAGUCAAUAGUAAGUCAGUAUAGACUUACUAUCGACGUUUCCUACAGGCUGCCUCAGUAUAGAAUCACAACAAAUUAUGCGACAUAUAAACUUCAAUACAAAGAAAAAUUUAUUUUUAGCCUACCGUUCCUUCCAUUGUUCCAAGCAUGACGAAUGAAAGAUGUGACCGCAAUUGGUGCUGUCUACUUCCUCGGUUUCUCGCACAUCGUCAGUACAAAUUGGGCACAUUAAUUUCAAACCAGACAUUUUCCUAAGGCUUUUUCUUUAACUUCUUGUAGGUCUUCUACGAAUUUUAGUUUUUUUUAUUGCAAAAACAAGUAUCCAAUCAUUGGUAAAUGGUUGAGACACUUUUUUGUUUAUAUUUCGCGAUUAGACCCUUGAUAACACUGCUUGCAAGAUACCAUGGAAUAUAAGAAUUAUACAAUCAUCAAUAGGCAAUGUUCUGUGCCUAAGGGAAAUCACCGAAGAAAUAAAGAUAAAUGGAGGAAGAGUGGUCAGAAUCGUAAUAAAAAAACAAUUGCACAAACGUUA
rnacentral:sRNA from 1 species